rnacentral:rRNA from 1 species
GUGCCAGCAGCUGCGGUAAUACAGAGGGUGCGAGCGUUAAUCGGAUUUACUGGGCGUAAAGCGUGCGUAGGCGGCUUAUUAAGUCGGAUGUGAAAUCCCCGAGCUUAACUUGGGAAUUGCAUUCGAUACUGGUGAGCUAGAGUAUGGAGAGGAUGGGUAGAAUUCCAGGUGUAGCGGUGAAAUGCGUAGAGAUCUGGAGGAAUACCGAUGGCGAAGGCAGCCAUCUGGCCUAAUACUGACGCUGAGGUACGAAAGCAUGGGGAGCAAACAGGAUUAGAUACCCUGGUAGUCCAUGCCGUAAACGAUGUCUACUAGCCGUUGGGGCCUUUGAGGCUUUAGUGGCGCAGCUAACGCGAUAAGUAGACCGCCUGGGGAGUACGGUCGCAAGACUAAAACUCAAAUGAAUUGACGGGGCCGCACAAGCGUGGAGCAUGUGGUUAAUCGAUGCAACGCGAAGAACCUUACCUGGCCUUGACAUACUAGAAACUUUCCAGAGAUGGAUUGGU